rnacentral:rRNA from 1 species
UCACUCCUACGGGAGGCAGCAGUGGGGAAUAUUGCACAAUGGGCGCAAGCCUGAUGCAGCCAUAGCCGCGUGUAUGAAGAAGGCCUUCGGGUUGUAAAGUACUUUCAGCAGUGAGGAAGGCAGGUACGUUAAUAGCGUGCUUGUUUGACGUUAGCUGCAGAAGAAGCACCGGCUAACUCCGUGCCAGCAGCCGCGGUAAUACGGAGGGUGCGAGCGUUAAUCGGAAUUACUGGGCGUAAAGCGCAUGCAGGUGGUUUGUUAAGUCAGAUGUGAAAGCCCGGGGCUCAACCUCGGAAUUGCAUUUGAAACUGGCAGACUAGAGUACUGUAGAGGGGGUAGAAUUUCAGGUGGUAGCGGUGAAAUGCGUAGAGAUCUGAAGGAAUACCGGUGGCGAAGGCGGCCCCCCUCGGACAGAUACUGACACUCAGAUGCGAAAGCGUGGGGAGCAAACAGGAUUAGAUACCCUGGUAG